AAGUCGUAACAAGGUUUCCGUAGGUGAACCUGCGGAAGGAUCAUUAAAAUACUUUUCAAAACUUUGUUUUGAAUUAAAAGCAACCACCGUUAAGUUCAAAAAUCUAAAACAAAACUUUCAACAACGGAUCUCUUGGUUCUC
rnacentral:misc_RNA from 1 species